GCAUUAAUGGGGUAGUGGUAACCUGGGUCGUUGCCAUCGUUGAACCGCCCUGUCAGGACUUCAUCGACCCGCCGGGGGUUCGAUUCCCUCUUAAUGCA